CCAUUCUGUCUCACCAUGGCUACAAACCCGAGAAUCAUACCAGUUAAGUCAGUGGGUGACUGCAGGAAGAUAUUCCCCAUUCGUCCCAUACUUAAGGCCAAUUCCUGGAGGAAGUGGUUUAUAUUUCGACCCAUUCCGCAAGCCCAAGAGGAUCAGAACUGCAUUCUCUCCUUCUCAACUCCUCAAACUGGAACAUGCCUUCGAAAAGAAUCAUUACGUAGUGGGUGCUGAAAGAAAACAGCUUGCUCAUAGUCUAAGUCUUACUGAAACUCAGGUUAAAGUGUGGUUCCAGAACCGUAGGACCAAACAUAAGCGACAAGAAGAGGAAGAUGGAAAAAUUUCAAACGACCAGAGACAUCAGCACAAUGAUAACGCCGACACCGACUCCAAGUCUUCCAGUCUUCUUAGACUUCCAACCACUGUCUGAUCUUUCUUUAGACAUUUGUAAUGUAACGUUUUGAUCCCGUAGAUGGUACUUACAUCUAGCGCCAAAAGUCUACUUUGUGAUCGUUUUAAGUACUUGUUGAACUAUUCAUAUCAGCGACUAGUUGGGGUUUUUCAUCUUGCACCAAAGUCCAUCAUAAGUUGAACCAUCAAUGAGUGGAAUGCUGGUGGACAGAGGUAUUGAUAAACUCUAAAAAGCGAGUUGUCCUUCCUGGCAUUUGUUGAUCUGCUGUCACCUGAAGAAGUCAACUAUUUUAUUUAGAAAAUGAUAAAAUAAACAAAA